rnacentral:rRNA from 1 species
GAUGAACGCUAGCGAUAGGCUUAACACAUGCAAGUCGAGGGGUAACGUGUUGGAAGCUUGCUUCCGAUGACGACGACCGGCGGAUGGGUGCGUAACGCGUAUGCAACUUGCCUCACAGUGGAGAAUAACCCGGAGAAAUCCGGACUAAUACUCCAUACACUCUUAAGUACGCCUGUACAUGAGAGGAAAGAUUUAUCGCUGUGAGAUAGGCAUGCGUCCUAUUAGGUAGUUGGUGAGGUAACGGCUCACCAAGCCGACGAUAGGUAGGGGUGCUGAGAGGCAGAUCCCCCACAUUGGGACUGAGACACGGCCCAAACUCCUACGGGAGGCAGCAGUGAGGAAUAUUAGUCAAUGGAGGAAACUCUGAACCAGCCAAGUCGCGUGAAGGAAGAAUGUCCUAAGGAUUGUAAACUUCUUUAGCGAGCGAGUAAGGACUUCCACGUGAUGGGAGUUUGAAAGUAGCUCGAGAAUAAGUAUCGGCUAACUCCGUG